rnacentral:rRNA from 1 species
GAUGAACGCUAGCUACAGGCUUAACACAUGCAAGUCGAGGAGAAACGGCAUUAAGUGCUUGCACUUUUUGGACGUCGACCGGCGCACGGGUGAGUAACGCGUAUCCAACCUUCCCAUGACUAAGGGAUAACCUGCCGAAAGGCAGACUAAUACCUUAUGGUCUUCACUGACGGCAUCAGAUGUGAAGUAAAGAUUUAUCGGUUAUGGAUGGGGAUGCGUCUGAUUAGCUUGUUGGCGGGGUAACGGCCCACCAAGGCAACGAUCAGUAGGGGUUCUGAGAGGAAGGUCCCCCACAUUGGAACUGAGACACGGUCCAAACUCCUACGGGAGGCAGCAGUGAGGAAUAUUGGUCAAUGGGCGAGAGCCUGAACCAGCCAAGUAGCGUGCAGGAUGACGGCCCUAUGGGUUGUAAACUGCUUUUGUAUGGGGAUAAAGUCAGUCACGUGUGAUUGUUUGCAGGUACCAUACGAAUAAGGACCGGCUAAUUCCGUGCCAGCAGCCGCGGUAAUACGGAAGGUCCGGGCGUUAUCCGGAUUUAUUGGGUUUAAAGGGAGCGUAGGCUGGAGAUUAAGUGUGUUGUGAAAUGUAGACGCUCAACGUCUGACUUGCAGCGCAUACUGGUUUCCUUGAGUACGCACAACGUUGGCGGAAUUCGUCGUGUAGCGGUGAAAUGCUUAGAUAUGACGAAGAACUCCGAUUGCGAAGGCAGCUGACGGGAGCGCAACUGACGCUGAAGCUCGAAGGUGCGGGUAUCGAACAGG